rnacentral:rRNA from 1 species
UGAGGAAUAUUGCACAAUGGGGGAAACCCUGAUGCAGCGACGCCGCGUGGGUGAUGAAGGCCUUCGGGUCGUAAAGCCCUGUCGGAGGGAAAGAAAGGGUGAGUAGCUAAUACCUGCUCACAUUGACGGUACCCUCAGAGGAAGCACCGGCUAACUCCGUGCCAGCAGCCGCGGUAAUACGGAGGGUGCGAGUGUUAUUCGGAAUCACUGGGCGUAAAGCGAACGUAGGCGGAUAGGCAAGUCAGAUGUGAAAUCCCGGGGCUCAACCUCGGAACUGCAUUUGAUACUGCUUGUCUUGAGUAUGGUAGAGGUAGGUAGAAUUCCCGGUGUAGAGGUGAAAUUCGUAGAUAUCGGGAGGAAUACCAGAGGCGAAGGCGACCUACUGGGCCAUUACUGACGC